UACGGGGGGUGCGAGCGUUGUCCGGAAUCACUGGGCGUAAAGGGCGCGUAGGUGGCGUGAUAAGGGUGUGGUGAAAGCCCGGGGCUCAACCUCGGAAUUGCACCUCAAACUACAUGGCUAGAGCAUUGGAGAGGGUAGCAGAAUUCACGGUGUAGCAGUGAAAUGCGUAGAUAUCGUGAGGAAUACCAGAGGCGAAGGCGGCUACUUGGACAAUUGCUGACGCUCAGGCACGAAAGCGUGGGGAGCAAAAGGG
rnacentral:rRNA from 1 species